UCCUAGCUCGUGCAUUCCAAUUGUUGAAUGCAAAGAGUAGCUGGAACUACACGCCUUUCCGCUAUGGCAGCUUGCUGCUAUAAAAUGCACCCAUGACAGCUAAUGCCUGAAAUGGUGGUGAAAACAGAAAGUGGAAUGGCUACUUAGG
rnacentral:ncRNA from 1 species